AAUCCAUAGGUUAAUGAGGCGAACCGGGGGAACUGAAACAUCUAAGUACCCCGAGGAAAAGAAAUCAACCGAGAUUCCCCCAGUAGCGGCGAGCGAACGGGGAGGAGCCCAGAGCCUGAAUCAGCAUGUGUGUUAGUGGAAGCGUCUGGAAAGGCGCGCGAUACAGGGUGACAGCCCCGUACACAAAAGCGCAUGUGCUGUGAGCUCGAUGAGUAGGGCGGGACACGUGGUAUCCUGUCUGAAUAUGGGGGGACCAUCCUCCAAGGCUAAAUACUCCUGACUGACCGAUAGUGAACCAGUACCGUGAGGGAAAGGCGAAAAGAACCCCGGCGAGGGGAGUGAAAAAGAACCUGAAACCGUGUACGUACAAGCAGUGGGAGCACCCUUUGGGUGUGACUGCGUACCUUUUGUAUAAUGGGUCAGCGACUUAUAUUCUGUAGCAAGGUUAACCGAAUAGGGGAGCCGGAGGGAAACCGAGUCUUAACCGGGCGUUAAGUUGCAGGGUAUAGACCCGAAACCCGGUGAUCUAGCCAUGGGCAGGUUGAAGGUUGGGUAACACUAACUGGAGGACCGAACCGACUAAUGUUGAAAAAUUAGCGGAUGACCUGUGGCUGGGGGUGAAAGGCCAAUCAAACCGGGAGAUAGCUGGUUCUCCCCGAAAGCUAUUUAGGUAGCGCCUCGUGAAUUCAUCUCCGGGGGUAGAGCACUGUUUCGGCUAGGGGGCCAUCCCGGCUUACCAACCCGAUGCAAACUGCGAAUACCGGAGAAUGUUAUCACGGGAGACACACGGCGGGUGCUAACGUCCGUCGUGAAGAGGGAAACAACCCAGACCGCCAGCUAAGGUCCCAAAGUCAUGGUUAAGUGGGAAACGAUGUGGGAAGGCCCAGACAGCCAGGAUGUUGGCUUAGAAGCAGCCAUCAUUUAAAGAAAGCGUAAUAGCUCACUGGUCGAGUCGGCCUGCGCGGAAGAUGUAACGGGGCUAAACCAUGCACCGAAGCUGCGGCAGCGACACUGUGUGUUGUUGGGUAGGGGAGCGUUC
rnacentral:rRNA from 2 species